UAAGUUGAUCAGACAGUCGCGUCUUACCACUUUUGGCAAAUCAGAGUUUUUAUAAAGAAAAAGCCUAGAGUUGCCAAAAGUGGUAGGACGAGGAAAGUCCGGGCUUCAAAGAGCAAGAUGCCAGGUAACGCCUGGGAAGCGUAAGCUUACGGAAAGUGCAACAGAGAAUAGACCGCCUGUGUUUUUAAUAGACAUAGGUAAGGGUGAAACGGUGUGGUAAGAGCGCACCGCGCUUUUGGUAACAAAAGUGGCAUGGUAAACCCCAUCUGAAGCAAGGCCAAAUAGGGUUGUAAUAGUGUGGCUCGCGCUGCAACCGGGUAGGCUGCUUGAGCAUUAUGGUGACAUAAUGCCUAGAUAAAUGACUGUCCACGACAGAACCCGGCUUAUCGAUUGACUUAGUAU
rnacentral:RNase_P_RNA from 1 species